rnacentral:rRNA from 1 species
AUUGAACGCUGGCGGCAUGCCUUACACAUGCAAGUCGAACGGCAGCGGACCUUCGGGUGCCGGCGAGUGGCGAACGGGUGAGUAAUAUAUCGGAACGUACCUUUCAGUGGGGGAUAACGUAGCGAAAGUUACGCUAAUACCGCAUAUUCUGUGAGCAGGAAAGCGGGGGAUCGCAAGACCUCGCGCGAAUGGAGCGGCCGAUAUCAGAUUAGGUAGUUGGUGGGGUAAAGGCUCACCAAGCCAACGAUCUGUAGCUGGUCUGAGAGGACGACCAGCCACACUGGAACUGAGACACGGUCCAGACUCCUACGGGAGGCAGCAGUGGGGAAUUUUGGACAAUGGGCGCAAGCCUGAUCCAGCCAUUCCGCGUGCAGGAUGAAGGCC